CCCCGCUCCUCCUCUCCUCUGCGCCGCUGCCGCCCGUCAUCCUCCCCCGCAUCACGCGCGCACGCGCCCCGCUUCAUCCUUGCCUCGCUCCUCCUCUCAUCCGCGUCGCUGCCGCCCGUCCUCCUCCUCUCCUCUACGUCGUCGCCAUUGUCCAUCGCCACCGCGCCCUCCUCCUCCUUCCACCUCCUAGCCCGCGCCCAAUAUCCGCAACCCUUCUUCCCUCCCUGCGCCCGAAACCCUAGCGCCUGACCAUGGCGCCCGAAUCUGCAGGAGGUGUAGCAGAGAUGUCCCAGCGACCGCGGCGGCGCAUUCGCGGCCGGUCCACCUCGGGCUGCUUCUCCACCACCACGCACCUGCCCCGCGUGCGCUCCUUCUCUCCCGGGAGUGGGCCGCAGCCAUGGAGAGUGGCCAGAGGAUCAAGGACGGACAACCCCUGCCUCCUCUCCAGCACGCUCGUCUCUGUCAUCUCUGCCAAAAAAGGAGACGGGAGUAAGAUGAGAAGACGAAGGAGAAGCCCUGCCAUCUCUGCCCCGUCCACUGCGUUGAGCGCGGCGACCGUCUGGGCUCUGCUUAUGCACCCCAAACUAUUCACCUCCACGCCCCUUCCAAUCUCCCCAUCCCUUUCUUGCAGGUCCUUUUUGUGUAUGCCUACAAGUUGUUCGAUAAAAAUCCAAGCAGGUUGUAGGAGAAGGUAUGCUUAGUAACGUUAAAGAGAUGCCACCCAUUACAAAUUAUGAUAUUCAUCAUUACACAUUAGCACCACCAUGGAUAGCCAAGAUCCUUGCCAGCCAUGAUAAUCAGAGUGAACUUUGCUGUCAUUUUCGUCUAUCCAUCCAGAGGAAGUAGAUGAUUGAUAGAGAUUCAGAGGAAGCAAUUAAUAAAUGAAGGCGUCGAGGCUCCUAUUUCUUCAGAUUCAUUGCUAGCCCCACAAAGGAAGAGGAUGCCAGGACGAGGACUGUAAUCAAUCCCUGCCUUACUGCCCCGACAACAGUGUCAAUGACUCCGAGCCUAGGUGCUCAACAGGAGCAGCGACAAGAGCAAGGCAGGCCAAUGCAUUUGGCACUCUUUGAGGCAUACACAAUCCUCUCUUCCCGAAGGAAGCCAAAGAUUAGGACUACUCAAACUUAUCGAUAUGAAGUAUACUUUUCCAAAAAAAUGCAUUCUUCGAUUCUAAUUCAAUGUUUCACAUGUUAUAUGUUCCUUUGGUGAAGUUGUCCAGCCAGUAGAGUGGAAUAAACCAGCCACAAAUUUGUGAUCAAUUGAGUGGAGAGUCUACCCGUUUGUUAGGUUAGAGCGGCGAUGUCGGCUGCAGCGGGACGGAUGGCGUCGGCGACGAGCAGUUCCUCAUCUUUGCCUCUGACGAAAAGGAUCAUCUGCUUCUUUGGGAGGAGGGGUGUGGCCGUGCUUGCAGAGUAAAAGGCAAGAGUGACACAUUACUCGGAGUGCUCGAAGACUUCCAUAGUGAAUUUGAGAAGUUCCAAUGCCCAUCUAAGCUCCUCCUUUUGGUGAUGUCAGCCGAUGAACUUUCUCUACACUGCAUCAGAUCCAUACAUUGCAACACCAAGCAAACUGGAUGACAAAGCCGCUGGACAAAGCUAUCGAUCUAAUAGUCAACUAUGGUUUAUUACUAUGCUGUAUAAAGGCAGUGUACGUAAGUUAUCUGGGACAGCCACUACUAUGGCCUGAUUUUGGUACAUUAAUCUCCAUUGUUCAGGUUGGAUAUGGCUAGGAGUGUCAGAUGUGGCAUUUCCUACCAGGUUUGAUAUGACCGCAUCCAGCAUGGGUGCGGGGUGCGGCAAGCCGCACUUUCCAUCUAGUAGCAUGGAUUAGUGGCUAGUGUGCUGGCUGUCCAACAGCCAUACACACGCACGAGUGGAUAAGGGGAGGCGACGGGAUACUUCGUUCCCAUCGACAAAUCGUCCCCAAUCCAACUCGAGCGGUGGCCGUCUGCACCACUACCACCAAUCUCCGCCACCAGCGACUGCCUCACCGGCGCGGCGCAGCAUCUUCCUCCUCUGAAGAAGAUCCACCAGAAGCUGCGUCCCAGGUGCGACGCCGUUGGCGACGCCAUUGGAGUGGCCGUUGGCCAGUCCGAGAACCACCGUGCGGCGCCAUUGGAGUGGCCGUUGGCCAGUCCGAGAACCACCGUGCGGCUGCGUUGCAGCUCGGCCCGCGGCACUAUG